GCUGUGCUUGCCCGGCACACCUGUAGUCCCAGCUACUCGAGGCUGAGGCUGGAGGAUCGCUUGAGUGCAGGAGUUCUGGGCUGUUGUGCACUGUGCCGAUCGGGUGUCCGCACUAAGGUCAGCAUCAGCAUGGUGACUUCCUGGGGGUAGGGCACCACCAGGUUGCCUAAGGAGGGGUGAUCCGGCCCAGGUCAGAAAUGGAGCAGAUCAGAACUCCUGUGCUGAUCUGAAGGGCUCUGGACUUGGAGGCUGAGCCUGGAAGGUGUCCAGGGUUUGGGCAUCCUGAGUAGGCAUCAGGUU
ensembl:misc_RNA Metazoa_SRP Metazoan signal recognition particle RNA